rnacentral:rRNA from 1 species
AUUGAACGCUGGCGGCAGGCCUAACACAUGCAAGUCGAGCGGAUGAAGGGAGCUUGCUCCUGGAUUCAGCGGCGGACGGGUGAGUAAUGCCUAGGAAUCUGCCUGGUAGUGGGGGAUAACGUCCGGAAACGGGCGCUAAUACCGCAUACGUCCUGAGGGAGAAAGUGGGGGAUCUUCGGACCUCACGCUAUCAGAUGAGCCUAGGUCGGAGUAGCUAGUUGGUGGGGUAAAGGCCUACCAAGGCGACGAUCCGUAACUGGUCUGAGAGGAUGAUCAGUCACACUGGAACUGAGACACGGUCCAGACUCCUACGGGAGGCAGCAGUGGGGAAUAUUGGACAAUGGGCGAAAGCCUGAUCCAGCCAUGCCGCGUGUGUGAAGAAGGUCUUCGGAUUGUAAAGCACUUUAAGUUGGGAGGAAGGGCAGUAAGUUAAUACCUUGCUGUUUUGACAUUACCAACAGAAUAAGCACCGGCUAACUUCGUG